rnacentral:pre_miRNA from 1 species
AAAAUACUCCCUCCGUCCGAAAAUACUUGUCGUCAAAAUGGACAAAAAGAGAUGUAUCUAAAAUUAAAAUACGUCUAGAUACACCCUCUUUUAUUUAUUUUGAUGACAAGUAUUUCCGGAUGGAGGGAGUAGUAA